GCGAUGAAGCGGGAGGUUGCGGCUGAUUCCAGCCGGUUUUUCCGUGGAGUAUGUCCGAUUUUAAACCGGGCGACAA
rnacentral:ncRNA from 1 species